GAGGAAGUAAAAGUCGUAACAAGGUUUUACGGAAGCCUUGGUCCCCAGUCUACGCUGUAGGCAACAUCAAUACUGUGCUUGAACGUCGUCAGACGACCAGCAGCUUGCUAGCAAGUCCACAGACCAGAUAUUGGUGGCCCUCUACGGGUUCAGAUAUGAUCGGCCUGCUCUUGGAAGAGUGCAGAGUCAGUGUUCCGUAGGUGAACAAUCCUUCAGGUUCGCCACCCAAGUCUGCAUUGCAGGCUACGCUUCUACUGUGCUGGGAUUCACUGUUGUGAUACCAGCAGCCUAUAACAGGCUCACAGGUCAAAUGGAAGUGGCCCUCUACAGGGUUAAGAUAUGAUCGGGAGGCCGCUGGAGACAGCCGCCACGCUUCCGCUGCGGAAGGAUCAUUACCG
rnacentral:rRNA from 1 species